rnacentral:rRNA from 1 species
UAAGAAGGGCAUUUAGUGGAUGCCUUGGCGAUAAGAGGCGAUGAAGGACGUGGUACGCUGCGUUAAGCCAUGGGGAGCUGCGAACAAGCUUUGAUCCAUGGAUAUCCGAAUGGGGAAACCCGGCCCGCAAGGGUCAUCAUUAUCUGAAUACAUAGGGUAAUGAGGCGAACCUGGGGAACUGAAACAUCUAAGUACCCGGAGGAAAGGACAUCAAUUGAGACUUCCUUAGUAGUGGCGAGCGAACGGGAACCAGGCCAGUGGCUUUAGUGAGACAACCGGAACCGUCUGGAAAGACGGGCCAUAGUGGGUGACAGCCCCGUACGGGUAAUUCGAACUUUAGUCCUCGAGUAGGGCGGGACACGUGAAAUCCUGUCUGAACAUGGGGGGACCAUCCUCCAAGCCUAAGUACUCCUUAUCGACCGAUAGUGAACAAGUACCGUGAGGGAAAGGUGAAAAGCACCCCGACGAGGGGAGUGAAACAGUUCCUGAAACUGGAUGCCUACAAACAGUUGGAGCCCAAGGUUCGUCCUGGGUGACAGCGUACCUUUUGUAUAAUGGGUCAGCGAGUUAUUGUCUGUAGCAAGGUUAACCAUUUAGGGGAGCCGUAGGGAAACCGAGUCUUAAUAGGGCGCUUAGUUGCAGGCAAUAGACCCGAAACCGGACGAUCUAGCCAUGGCCAGGUUGAAGGUGCCGUAACAGGCACUGGAGGACCGAACCCACCUAUGUUGAAAAAUGGGGGGAUGAGCUGUGGCUCGGAGUGAAAGGCUAAUCAAGUCCGGAGAUAGCUGGUUCUCCUCGAAAACUAUUUAGGUAGUGCCUCGUGAAUAACUGCUGGGGGUAAAGCACUGUGUCGGCUAGGGGGUCAUCCCGACUUACCAAACCGAUGCAAACUCUGAAUACCAGUAAGUUCAAUCACGGGAGACAGACUGCGGGUGCUAACGUCCGUUGUCGAGAGGGCAACAACCCAGACCACCAGCUAAGGUCCCUAAUAUCAGUUCAGUGGGAAACGAUGUGGGAAGGCUUAGACAGCUAGGAGGUUGGCUUAGAAGCAGCCACCCUUUAAAGAAAGCGUAAUAGCUCACUAGUCGAGU